UCCUUCUUAGCUCAGUUGGUAGAGCGCGUCACUAGUACUUACAGCUUAUGACGAGGUCAGUCGUUCGAGUCGGCUAGAAGGAA